UAUGUAUUGUGUUCUCUUCAUCAGCACCUUUAACUGGUCAGUACCGUUCCUCUCCAACCUUGCCUUCCUUAUCCUGGUGACAGUAACAGUUCUGACAUACUUCAUCCCUGUACGAUAUAUCCUUCUAGUAUGGGGAAUUAAUAAAUUCACCAAGAAAUUACGGGCCCCGUACGCCAUCGACAACAAUGAGGUGUUUGAUUUCCUGAGGAGAGUUCCUUCAGAUGUUCACAAGGUGCAGUACAGCGAGCUGAAGACUUUGAGCGCCCAGAGUCCUCUGAGGAGGAAGAGAACCAUUGAGAGGAGGUGAUGGAGGAGUGAUCUAUGGUCCCCAAUGGAAGACAUGGCCAUGUGUACAGUGUUGCCGCCUCAGACUUGUGUCCUGUGUGAAACUGGACGUAUAGUGGAGGAUAUGCAGGGCAUAUCUGGAUCAUAUUCCUCUAUGUUCAGAAUUGGUUAGAAAACUGCUCCUGGGUUACUGGUCCUCUGUAGCUCCGUUUGUAGAACAUGGCACUUGCUGUGCCGGGAUAGUGGGUACAAUUCCUGAGAUCACCCAUAUGUAUACACGCAUAACUCCGUCUCUUUGGGAUAAAAGCAUCUGCUACAUGGCGUCUAUACUGAACAAAAAUGGCAACGCAACAUGCAACAAUUUCAAAGAUUUUACUGACUUACAGUUCAUAGAAGAAAAUCUGUCAUUUGAAAUGAAUUCUUUCAGCCCUAAUCAAUGGAUUUCACAUGACUGGGAUGCAGGGGGGUGGAUUAUCUUGGCAAUAGGAGAAAUGCUCACUAACAGAGGAAGGUAAAGCUUUUUGUACGUACGGAACAAUUCUGGGAUUUUUAUUUCAACUCAUGAAAUAUGGGACCAACACUUUACAUGUUUGUAUGUGUUCAGUGUCUAUUAGCAGUCAGACAUGGAUAUUGUAUCA